rnacentral:tRNA from 1 species
GCAGUCGUGGCCUACUGGUUAGGGCUUCAGGCUUGUAACCGGUGGGUUGCCGGUUAGAUCCCUGACCAGUAGGA